rnacentral:sRNA from 1 species
UAGAAAAUAUACAUAAUCCGCACAUAUAUCGGCACAUUGUUCAGGGUGUCUUAAAAACUCAGUUUUUAGGAUUGGAUAAUGGGAUAUAUGGAGGCUUAAC